rnacentral:rRNA from 1 species
GACGAACGUUGGCGGCGUGCUUAAUACAUGCCAGUCAACUGAAGCAGUGGUAGCAAUAUCGCUGUGGAGGUGGCGCACGGGUGAGUAACACGUAGGUAAUCUGCCUUCAGGUCUGGCAUAACUCCGGGAAACCGGGGCUAAUAGCAGAUGAUGCGGCGGCUCGACAUCGAGACAGUUGUUAAAGCUAUGGCGCCUGAAGAUGAGCCUGCGUCUGAUUAGCUAGUUGGCGGGGUAACGGCCCACCAAGGCAACGAUCAGUAGCUGGUCUGAGAGGAUGAUCAGCCACACUGGAACUGAGACACGGUCCAGACUCCUACGGGAGGCAGCAGUAAGGAAUAUUGCUCAAUGGGAGAAAUCCUGAAGCAGCAACGCCGCGUGAGGGACGAAGGGCUUUUGCUUGUAAACCUCUGUAGUGAGAGAAAAAAAUCCCAAUCUUUGGGACAUGAUGGUAUCUCAAAAGUAAGCCCCGGCUAACUACGUG